GGCAAGAUGGCCGAGCGGUUAAGGCGUGUGACUCAAGUUAGCGGGAUUGCUCAAUCCUAGACUGGCUUCCCUGGAAUUGGGGUUUCUCAUCACGGUAUCGUGGCGUGGGUUCAAGUCCCACUCUUGUCA